rnacentral:rRNA from 1 species
AUUGAACGCUGGCGGAAUGCUUUACACAUGCAAGUCGAACGGCAGCACGGACUUCGGUCUGGUGGCGAGUGGCGAACGGGUGAGUAAUGUAUCGGAACGUGCCCAGUCGUGGGGGAUAACGUAGUGAAAAUUACGCUAAUACCGCAUACGAUCUAUGGAUGGAAGCGGGGGAUCGCAAGACCUCGCGCGGUUGGAGCGGCCGAUAUCAGAUUAGGUAAUUGGUGGGGUAAAGGCCCACCAAGCCAACGAUCUGUAGGUUGUCUGAGAGGACGACUAGCCACCUGGGGACAGAGACACGCUCCAGACUCAUACGGGAGGCAGCAGUGGGGAAUUUUGGACAAUGGGCUAAAGCCUGAUCCAGCCAUUCCGCGUGCAGGAUGAAGGCCCUAGGGUUGUAGACUGCUUUUGUACAGAACGAAAAGGUUUCUACUAAUACUGGGAGCUCAUGACGGUACUGUAAGAAUAAGCACCGGCUAACUACGUGCCAGCCGCCGCCGUAA